GGCGAGCGUAGCCAAGUGGUAAGGCAGUGGAUUGUGGUUUCAUCAUACGCGGGUUCAAUCCCCGUCGUUCGCC
rnacentral:tRNA from 1 species